rnacentral:rRNA from 1 species
GACGAACGCUGGCGGCGUGCUUAACACAUGCAAGUCGAACGGAAAGGCCUUUUCGGAGGUACUCGAGUGGCGAACGGGUGAGUAACACGUGGGUGAUCUGCCCUGCACUCUGGGAUAAGCCUGGGAAACUGGGUCUAAUACCGGAUAGGACCGCACUUUAGUGUGUGUGGUGGAAAGUUUUUUCGGUGUAGGAUGAGCCCGCGGCCUAUCAGCUUGUUGGUGGGGUAAUGGCCUACCAAGGCGGCGACGGGUAGCCGGACUGAGAGGUUGGUCGGCCACAUUGGGACUGAGGUACGGCCCAGACUCCUACGGGAGGCAGCAGUGGGGAAUAUUGCACAAUGGGCGCAAGCCUGAUGCAGCGACGCCGCGUGGGGGAUGACGGCCUUCGGGUUGUAAACUCCUUUCGCCAGGGACGAAGCGUUUUGUGACGGUACCUGGAGAAGAAGCACCGGCUAACUACGUG